GCCAUGAUAGCUCAAAAGUUAGCAGCACCGGUUUUGUAAUCCGAAGGUUGAAGGUUAAAAUCCUUCUCACGGCA
rnacentral:tRNA from 1 species